rnacentral:tRNA from 1 species
GCCAUCUUAGCUCAGUUGGUAGAGCGACGCACUCGUAACGCGUAGGUCGUCGGUUCAAUCCCGACAGAUGGCUCAA